GCGCCGUGUACUCCCAGAUGGCCUCCGGGUCGGUGAGGGCCUGCUCGCCGAAGUACGCGCCGUCGGCGAGGACGCCGAGGACGGAGUCGUCUCCGUAGGGGCCGGUGCCGAUCUUCUCCACGCGGCCGUGGGCCAGGAGGAAGACGGCGUCGGUGCGGCUGCCGAAGGGGGCGAGUGUCUCACCGGCCUCGAACUCGCGCUGCUCGCAGCGCGAGGCCAGUUCGCCGAGGACGUCCUGCUCCUGGAACUCCCGCAGCGCGGGCAGUUCGCCCAGCUCUGCGGGGAUGACCUGGACGCGGUCCCCGGUCUUCACGAAGGUGACCCGGCCGUCGCCGACCGAGUAGCUGAGCCUGCGGUUGACCCGGUACGUACCGCCCUGCACGUCCACCCAGGGCAGCGUGCGCAGCAGCCAGCGCGAGCUGAUCUCCUGCAUCUGCGGCACGGACUUGGUGGUGGUGGCCAGAUUCCGCGCGGCGGAUGUGGCCAGACUCUGCUGGGGUGUGGCCU
rfam:Streptomyces sp. PVA 94-07 chromosome, whole genome shotgun sequence.